AUGCACGCUGGCGGCGUGCCUCAUCCCUUCCAGUCGAGCGAACAGAUGAGGAGCUUGCUCCUCUGACGUUAGCGGCGGACGGGUGAGUAACCCGUGGAUAACCUACCUAUAAGACUGGGAUAACUUCGGGAAACCGGAUCUAAUACCGGAUAAUAUAUUGAACCGCAUGGUUCAAUAGUGAAAGACGGUUUUGCUGUCACUUAUAGAUGGAUCCGCGCCGCAUUAGCUAGUUGGUAAGGUAACGGCUUACCAAGGCGACGAUGCGUAGCCGACCUGAGAGGGUGAUCGGCCACACUGGAACUGAGACACGGUCCAGACUCCUACGGGAGGCAGCAGUAGGGAAUCUUCCGCAAUGGGCGAAAGCCUGACGGAGCAACGCCGCGUGAGUGAUGAAGGUCUUCGGAUCGUAAAACUCUGUUAUUAGGGAAGAACAAAUGUGUAAGUAACUAUGCACGUCUUGACGGUACCUAAUCAGAAAGCCACGGCUAACUACGUG
rnacentral:rRNA from 1 species